ACAACUUCUUGGCUCCUUGGAGCUAAGAUCAAAGUGUAGUGUCUGUUCUUAUCAGUUUAAUAUCUGAUAUGUCCUUUAUUUGAGGACUAUAUAUUAAAUUGAUUUUUGAAAUAGGGGAAUGGAACAGGAGCUUGCUCUGUCUCUCCCAUGCAUUGACCUGGUAUUGCAGUGCCUCCAGGAUUGGUGCAUCUCCU
ensembl:snRNA U2 U2 spliceosomal RNA